rnacentral:lncRNA from 1 species
CUCCCCUGCUUCAGCUUGAGCUCAGUUAUAACGGCUUUUUCACUCCAUCCCCACACUGAGCAGCAGCACUAAAUAUGCCUUCAGAGUAAACACUGGCGGGCAGGCGUUGCCAGCUCUGCUCGCCAGCAGCCUCUCUUUAGCCUCAUUCACAACAGAGAUUUUGCCGGCACUCUGAUGGCGCCUUGGGUCCAUUGCAUACCUGUCUGCUAAGGCAGCAAUGGGCAACUCACUUGCCAGGUCAGUCACUGGGCUGGUCAAAAAGAGGUUUGGGCAGAUGAUCCCUUUCCACAAUCUGACUGUGUGUUCAUCUCUGUGCCUGGCAUUCAAUGGCCACUGUUUUGCUAAGAACACACCACCCUUUAGGACAGCAACGGAUUCAAGCAACCCCAGG